AACGCAUCUUGCGCUCCUUGGUAUUCCGAGGAGCAUGCCUGUUUGAGUGUCGUGAAUACUCUCAAUCUUAAGUCUUUUUUUUUAUGAGAAGGUCUUAGGGUUGGAUUUGGAUGUUGCUGCGAUUUUAUUGCGGCUCGUCUCGAAAUGCAUUAGCUGGUCCACCUCGGUCUUAACAAACGGUGUGAUAAGAAACAUUCAUUUGUGACUGUAGCGCUGCUGUUAUAGACUGGUGAAAGGACUGCUUCUAAUCGUCUUUGGACAAUUUUCAUGUCAUCUGACCUCAAAUCAGGUAGGACUACCCGCUGAACUUAA
rnacentral:misc_RNA from 1 species